rnacentral:rRNA from 1 species
AUGUGCAACGAUCCCUCCAGGUCGUCCUACGCCGACCACCUCUACAAGCCAAGCUUCGCCGGCUUCAUCGACAUCGACAUCCUCGAGACCGGCGGCAAGAUACCUCUCAGAACCUUGAUCGACCACUCUAUGGUGGAGAGCUUCGGAGGCCACAUCAGAAUGAGCAUAUUGUCGAGGGUCUACCCGAUGCAGGCCGUCAGCAACAAGGCGCGCCUCUACGUGUUCAAUCACGGCGAGUCAGACAUCAAGGUUACGCACCUAAAUGCGUAUGACAUGCGUUCUGCCAAGAUCAGCACGGACAUCGACCAAUACUAA